rnacentral:RNase_P_RNA from 1 species
GAGGAAAGUCCGGGCUCCACAGGACAGGAUGGUCCCUAACGGGGACCGGGGGUGACCCUAGGGAUAGUGCCACAGAGAGGAGACCGCCUGUUUUCGCUGCGGCGCUGACAGGUAAGGGUGAAAGGGUGAGGUAAGAGCUCACCAGUUCUGGCGGUGACGUCAGAAGCUCGGUAAACCCCAUCCGGAGCAAGGCCGAAUAGGGGAACAUUUGAGGAUGGUCCGUCCAAAGUUCCCGGGUCUGGCUGCUUGAGACCGUCGGCAACGGCGGUCCUAGAGGAAUGAUCAUCGUCCUGCAGCGGGUAACUUCUGCAGGAAACAGAAUCCGGCUUAC